AGUGAGGAAUAUUGGUCAAUGGGCGAAAGCCUGAACCAGCCAUGUCGCGUGCAGGAUGACGGCCCUAUGGGUUGUAAACUGCUUUUUUACAGGAAUAAUUGCAGAUACGUGUAUCUGUUUGAAUGUACUGUAUGAAUAAGGAUCGGCUAACUCCGUGCCAGCAGCCGCGGUAAUACGGAGGAUUCGAGCGUUAUCCGGAUUUAUUGGGUUUAAAGGGUCCGUAGGCGGUUCUUUAAGUCAGCGGUGAAAUCCCAGAGCUCAACUCUGGAACUGCCAUUGAAACUGAAGAACUUGAAUAUGGUUGAGGUAGGCGGAAUACGUUAUGUAGCGGUGAAAUGCAUAGAUAUAACGUAGAACACCAAUUGCGAAGGCAGCUUACUAAACCAUUAUUGACGCUGAUGGACGAAAGCGUGGGGAGCGAACAGGAUUAGAUACCCCGGUAGUCCACGCCGUAAACGAUGAUUACUCGUUGUGCACAAUACACCGUGCGUGACUGAGCGAAAGCAUUAAGUAAUCCACCUGGGGAGUACGUUCGCAAGAACGAAACUCAAAGGAAUUGACGGGGGCCCGCACAAGCGGAGGAACAUGUGGUUUAAUUCGAUGAUACGCGAGGAACCUUACCUGGACUUAAAUGUAGUUUGACCGGCUUAGAAAUAGGUCUUCUCUUCGGAGCAAAUUACAAGGUGCUGCAUGGUUGUCGUCAGCUCGUGCCGUGAGGUGUCGGGUUAAGUCCCAUAACGAGCGCAACCCCUAUCGUUAGUUGCUAGCAGGUAAUGCUGAGGACUCUAGCGAGACUGCCACCGUAAGGUGAGAGGAAGGUGGGGAUGACGUCAAAUCAGCACGGCCCUUACGUCCAGGGCUACACACGUGUUACAAUGGCCAGUACAAAGGGCAGCUACCUGGUGACAGGAUGCUAAUCUCAAAAGCUGGUCUCAGUUCGGAUCGGAGUCUGCAACUCGACUCCGUGAAGUUGGAUUCGCUAGUAAUCGUAUACCAGCAAUGAUACGGUGAAUACGUUCCCGGGCCUUGUACACACCGCCCGUCAAGCCAUGGAAGCCGAGGGUGCCUGAAGUACGUUACCGCAAGGAGCGUCCUAGGGUAAAAUUGGUAACUGGGGCU
rnacentral:rRNA from 1 species